ACUCUAUUUUGUUUUAAACUGAAUACAAAACCAAGUUAUUUUAAAGUCACUUAUUUUAGGACGGAGGGAGUAAUAUAUAGUAUCCGAUUUUAAUUACAAACUGCUCUUUGUUCUGAUGCACUUGUUUUUUUACUGUCAUAGAUAUGAAAGCCAACGCAUGCGCGGGCCGUGAACCUUACCAGUUCAAUUGUACACCUGGAGGCUGUGUUACUGCCUGCAAAAAACUGGGCUGCGGAACUGGGGUUUGCCAUUCAGAUGGUAGUUGCUAUUGCAGCUAGAUGAGGCUGCUUGAUCAGUCCUAGUUGUUGCUCUAAUUUGUAGCAAGAAAAAGACCGAGAAUAAUAAGUAAUGUUGAGUUUUCUUCAAUUCCUGAAAAAAGUUAAAUAGAGAUUGUUUAUUUUCCUGUGCUCUCCCUUAUCAUUGUUUUUUUAAUGAAA
rnacentral:lncRNA from 1 species